ensembl:lncRNA
GUGUGACCGUGGCUGGGAGUCCCCGAGGAGCAACGCUGUGGGGGUGGAGGUUUGGAGGCAGGCCUUGUCCCUCCGCUUCAUCAGGCACAGACGUGAGCGUAGGACAUGGGGUCACCGAGAGCACCAACUGUAAUCUACGUAGAAAGAUAAGCACGCCGUUCAGUGACACCCAGAGGUGGAAAAUCAAUGCCUGUCAUGACAUCUUUUUAUGAACUGCCAAGGUCAGUGUCUAGGUUUCAGUUUAGUGCUGUAUGGGGACGCCAGUAAAUGAGAGAAUGCUCUGACUUUGGCAAUUUGUGCACAUUUAGCUGAACAAGCAUCUCAAAUCUUUCAGUUGGAUGUAUUAAUGUCCAUUAUUUCUGUUGUCCUGGAUCCAAAACUCAUCUUCAGCCAAAGCUGAGCAACAUAUUGGAGCAACAGUGGUUAAAAAUGCUGAAAUGCUGACUCUUCUAUUUCAUACGGAGCAUCUUUUUUCAUCACCCGCUGCCUAAAAGUGCUCAUGUCUCACACCUCUCGCCAUGUACAGGUUUUUUAUUAAUUUAUAACUCUCAAAAGCCAAAACGAGAUGGCCCGAAUAACAUCGUGUUGACACAGAACGUGUUCCUUCUGAGCAGCUGUCCUUCACAUACGACCCAGUAAUUGAUUUCCAAGCGACCACAUCACUGUGCUGACUGUUGGAUUCAUCUCUCCUCUUAUCACUGUGCCUCUGCUGUCAUGAGAAAUAGAAAUAUCUCCUCACUGCCAUGUGUUUUUUCCCUCCCCACUGAAGGAUUGACCUUCCUCCGACUCACAAGCCGCCCCCUCCUUACUCGGAGAGAGCACCCGCUGUUCCUCUGGGAGUCCACGCAUCGCAAGUGGCCUGGCUGUGUCAGACUCGCAGAGCUGGUCCCGGAUUUGAACGGCCGCCCGCAUCCAGGGCAGCACCACCGACAGCGCAGCGCCCCACCCAACAGCGCCCCACCCAACAGCGCCCCACCCAACAGCGCUCCACCCAGCAGCACUCCCGUCUUGAGUGGGUGUGUCAUCAGAGCGGGUCAGACAGAGUGUACAUCAACCACCAAGAGCACUACGUGUGACACGUUACCCAAACGUUCUCCACUAAUCACUCGGCAGCUCUCGGUGCGUGAGGCGCAGCAGAGGAGGGAUGUGCCUGUCUACAGGCCCAGCUCUGAAUUUCCAUCAUGUUGGACGUUUUGAAAAACAACCUCCUGUCAGAGUGAGCUUAUAGUCAUCAAGUAGAGUAGAAAAACUACGGAGCCCUGGACAUGACAUUUAAAGACAUAGGAAAAACCAAAUUGUGUCAUCAAAUUAAAAAUUGCUGGCCACCAACUAAUAUGUUGUGUGCACAGGUUAGUGUUUUGUCACCACAAAUAAGCAAUUUUUUUUGUAUUUUGUGGACAAAACAAAAUGCUAGUUUGUUCACAAAAAAUUCCAAUUUGUGUGUACAAAUUGCUUAUUUAUGUCAACAAAAUACCGACUUGUGACCACAAAAUACUGGUUUUUAACCUAAGUGUUAAUUUGAGUGGACAAAAUGCAAAUUUUUGUGUAUAAAUUGCCCAUUUGUGCAAUAAAAAUGCUAAUUUGUGACCCCAAAAUGCUUAUCUUGCAUACAUAUUGCCAUUUUAUCCCUGCAAAAUGCUAAUUUGAGGACACAAACUACUAUUUUAUGAUCACAAAUUAUGAAUUUAUAAAAAAAUGUAUUUUUUUUAUGUUAUACCCAGACUUAUAAGCAUAAAAAAAUAAGCAGCUGGAGAAAUUCCACAAGCGUCAAGCUAUUGCAUUGUAUUUAAAUUUCCAAAAUUGAACUGGUGUUAUUACACAUCAAUAACUGAGCCAAAGCUCAGACCGUAAAGGGAUAAUAAAAGUAUUUAUGUCCCAGUUCUGCUGUAAAACCAUGUUUUUUUGGCUAAAGAACCAGUAGAUUUUGAAAUAUAGCCUUUGAAUCAGUUUAACUGCUGUGUUCUUCAUCUUAUCAGGGAAACAAAAACAUAUUACUGCAGCGUUUUAGAAAAAAAAGGAAUCUCUUGCUUUGGUAAAUAUUCCAUAGUGGACUUUUAUUGCUUUGUUCCUGAAACUAACCCUCUCUAAGUGCCAUUUUGGGAGUUUUCUCCUGCGAGUGUGUAGCAUGCUGUAGACUUCUCAGUCCUCCUGUGUAACAAGAUGGAGUUGCUUUCUUGUUUGACGUAUUGUUUUUAUUAAAGUGCACAUUAUAGCCAAUCGUGUUUCUUGUGUGACAUUAAAAAAAAAAAAAAUCAUGAGGAAAUAUAGGCUGUUUCUGAACUGCUGGGUAAAGUCACGUAUCUGUAAGUGUGGGUGUUCAAUGACCUUUUUUAAGGUAAGCACGCAGUGGCGAAAGCUGUGAGUCAUAGUGGUGAGACAAAAAGAAAAGUCCUUGAAGAUCGUAGAGAGUUUAAACUGAUGAUUGGAGCUUUUUUUUUUUCUGGG